GGCUCCCAAGGUCGUUAAAGACCUGUAUCCUCUUCUCAUGGCUUAUACAUGUUCGUUUUUUGGUCUCAAGGCUAGAUCUUGAAAGAACUUGGUCCAGACCUUGUUCAGUUUCAGUUCAUGGCUAUUCUCUAGUCGUUUCUGACCUUUCUCCAGCUAGCCGUGUCCAUUCGAGUACGACUCUUGACUCUCCUGCUUAGAUCGAUGAUUUUCAAA
rnacentral:lncRNA from 1 species